rnacentral:lncRNA from 1 species
AAAGAUUGUCGAAUCCACAGAGACCAAGUGUCAAUCUAUCGUUAUCUAUUGUUAUGGUGUUUAUCAAAGGCAAUCGAAAUAGGUGUUUUUGGAGUGUGCAAUGAAAAGUAAAGUGUUGAAUAAAUAUUAAUUAAUAAAGACAGGGUCGAAUGUAAUUCNCUGGAUCAUUCACUUAUUUGCAUCGGUCCCCUACGUAGAGGAUGCGUAGGCCGGAGCUGAUUGCUGAGAUAAACUACUGAGGACUUAUACGGAAAUGAUGAU